GAAAGGAGCCCAAGUCCACAGCCCUAUAAAUGCACAGCUCAUCUGCAGCAAACACCCUGCACCCUCACCCUGAGCCUCUGGAUCUCUCUUCUGCAUCCAAGACCAGCACAAUGCCCUCAUCGGCCUGUCCCAAACCCCACGGUCAAGAGUGGCCCACCAGCUCAGACCAUCCUCCCUGGAGCAGCUCUUCCUCAAACACCAUGCCAUCUCUGUUUCUGGGGACAGCGAUUCAGUGACACAGCCUGAGCAGCAGAGCCAAGGGAUGAGACCACAGGAGUAGCUCUAGAUAGCAGAACUCUCCCAUGUACAGAUGAUAGGAACAGGCCUGGCUGAUGCCUUGGUCAACCAAGAAAUCUCACAUCGAGGGAAUCUAGUCCUGUAAUGAGUAGCCAUAACAGGGGAGGUAGCCUCCACAAGGCCAGAAGGAAAUAUAAAACUUUGAAAAGUUAGAGUGUUCAAUUCAACUUAGCUAGCUGGCUAGUAACCAGUAAAGAUGGGAAAGUGGGGAAAGAGGAAGGGGUGAAAAUUAGCAGGAGUGGGAUGGUCAUAUAGAAGGCAAAUGAGGGUAUAGCAAAAUGAGAGGAGGAAAAACAGGAGUGCUGAAGAACGGGGUUAAGCAGGCAUACACUGGCAUCUAAAGCCCCUGCAGCGGAGAGGUGGGAUACAUCUUAACUCCAAACAAGAUGAAAGUAGAAGAGAUUUAAUUUGAACACAGUGAUUCCCUAAAUGUUACAGUAACGAGAAAAGAGCUGAAUACUAAGAUUCUAACGGUGUAAAAUAAACACUAGGGGUUCACAGGUACUCAAGUACGCAUGUACUCCAUGCCCUCUGCAGGCCCAGGUCCAGUAAAGCUGGCACCUAUGAACCUUGCUCAUCCAAACCCCAUUCUCAAAGACAUAGUUGGAUUUUUUUUUAAUUGAAAAUAGACUAUUCUCUC